rnacentral:lncRNA from 1 species
CAUACAGAGCAUAUAUUCAACUUCGUUACUUCUCCAUUUAUGGAAUGGAAGGAGGCUAUCACUCACUAAACCUUCCAUGCUGCUGCCAUCAGAUACCCCAGAAACUACACUAGGAGGCUGCUACAAAACUCAGAAAUGCUCACCACCCUGACCUUGAGGCUGCUCUACUGGUCAGAACAAAACCAAGCAACUAAGUUUCAGUAGGCAAAAGGAAGACCAAGGGAAUAACCAUGGGUCUUUGCACACUUAGUUGAGACAUAAAAGGAGAGUGCCAGAUAUCUUGUGCCACAGAUGCUGGCCAGACCAGGGGAUCUUACUGUCCCUUGUGCCAACUCUUGUCAUGACACAUCCUAUAGCCAAGCAUUGCCCAACCAGCCAACAGAGCUCCUGGCUCUCUGCAUAGGAUAAGAGCUCACUGUUCUGAAAGAUGUACUUUGUCCCAUACAACCUUCCUUCACACCCUACAGACUUGCCUCAGGCUUUGGACAAGCUCCACACUUAAUCACGUUUUGCACAAUAGUUCACCUCUUCUGAAACAGCUGACCAGAAUUGCUACAAGAUGCAGGCCAAUGUACUUAUGCAGAUCAUUGAUCAAUCCUCUUCAAUAACGCC